rnacentral:tRNA from 1 species
GAGCGCGUAGCUCAGUUGGUAGAGCAACUGACUUUUAAUCAGUGGGUCCAGGGUUCGAAUCCCUGCGCGCUCA